rnacentral:rRNA from 1 species
AAACUAACAAGGAUUCCCCUAGUAGCGGCGAGCGAAGCGGGAAGAGCUCAAAUUUAUAAUCUGGCACCUUCGGUGUCCGAGUUGUAAUCUCUAGAAGUGUUUUCCGCGUUGGACCGCACACAAGUCUGUUGGAAUACAGCGGCACAGUGGUGAUACCCCCGUACACGGUGCGGACGCCCAGCGCUUUGUGAUACACUUUCAAAGAGUCGAGUUGUUUGGGAAUGCAGCUCAAAUUGGGUGGUAAAUUCCAUCUAAAGCUAAAUAUUGGCGAGAGACCGAUAGCGAACAAGUACCGUGAGGGAAAGAUGAAAAGCACUUUGGAAAGAGAGUUAACAGUACGUGAAAUUGUUGGAAGGGAAACGCUUGAAGUCAGACUUGCUUGCCGGAGCUUGCUUCGGUUUGCAGGCCAGCAUCAGUUUUUCGGGGUGGAUAAUGGCGGUUUGAAGGUAGCAGUCUCGUGCUGUGUUAUAGCUUUCCGCUGGAUACACCCUGGGGGACUGAGGAACGCAGCGUGCUUUUAGCGAAGGUUUCGACCUUUUCACGCUUAGGAUGCUGGUGGAAUGGCUUUAAACGACCCGUCUUGAAACACG